ACGAACAGAACAUGAGUUUCCAUUCGAAUGGAAGGAAAUACGAUAUUAAAUUAAAUUAUUAUUAAAAACUGUGCAUUCCCAUUUAUUAAAAAAAAAAAUUCAAUUAAAAUUGAAAGCCUCCGAAAAAUCAAGUAGAAAAAAUUGAACAAGAAAUAAUCAAAUUUCUCCAUACUUUUCAAAUUACCCUUACAUCUCGUCCAUCCCAUCGAAAAAAAAAACACAGGACACGAAAUAAUCAAAAUUCUCCAUACUUUUCAAAUUACCCGUACAUCUCAUCGCUCCCAUCACAAAAAAAACACCGGCUCUUUUUGUGUUGUCUGGGAAGAUGGAGAUCCCCGCCCUAGAGGAUGAACGAACCGCGGCGGCUAAUAUGGUGGAUGACAAGA
rnacentral:lncRNA from 1 species